rnacentral:rRNA from 1 species
AAGCUACUAAGAGCGAAUGGUGGAUGCCUUGACUGGUAAAGGCGAUGAAGGACGUACUAGACUGCGAUAAGCUACGGGGAGCUGUCAAGAAGCUUUGAUCCGUAGAUUUCCGAAUGGGGCAACCCAAUGUAUAGAGAUAUACAUUACCUAUAUAGGAGCGAACGAGGGGAAUUGAAACAUCUUAGUACCCUCAGGAAAAGAAAUCAAUAGAGAUUGCGUCAGUAGCGGCGAGCGAAAGCGCAAGAGGGCAAACCCAGUGCUUGCACUGGGGGUUGUAGGACUGCAAUGUGCAAGAGGUAAGUUUAGCAGAACAUUCUGGAAAGUAUAACCAUAGAGGGUGAUAGUCCCGUAUGCGAAAAACAAACCUUAGCUAGCAGUAUCCUGAGUAGGGCGGGACACGAGGAAUCCUGUCUGAAUCCGGGUCGACCACGAUCCAACCCUAAAUACUAAUACCAGAUCGAUAGUGCACAAGUACCGUGAGGGAAAGGUGAAAAGAACUGAGGUGAUCAGAGUGAAAUAGAACCUGAAACCAUUUGCUUACAAUCAUUCAGAGCCCUAUGUAGCAAUACAGGGUGAUGGACUGCCUUUUGCAUAAUGAGCCUGCGAGUUGUGGUGUCUGGCAAGGUUAAGCAAACGCGAAGCCGUAGCGAAAGCGAGUCUGAAUAGGGCGCUUAGUCAGAUGCUGCAGACCCGAAACGAAGUGAUCUAUCCAUGAGCAAGUUGAAGCUAGUGUAAGAACUAGUGGAGGACUGAACCCAUAGGCGUUGAAAAGCCCCGGGAUGACUUGUGGAUAGGGGUGAAAGGCCAAUCAAACUUCGUGAUAGCUGGUUCUCUCCGAAAUAUAUUUAGGUAUAGCGUUGUGUCGUAAUAUAAGGGGGUAGAGCACUGAAUGGGCUAGGGCAUACACCAAUGUACCAAACCCUAUCAAACUCCGAAUACCUUAUAUGUAAUCACAGCAGUCAGGCGGCGAGUGAUAAAAUCCGUCGUCAAGAGGGAAACAACCCAGACUACCAGCUAAGGUCCCUAAAUCUUACUUAAGUGGAAAACGAUGUGAAGUUACUUAAACAACCAGGAGGUUGGCUUAGAAGCAGCCAUCCUUUAAAGAAAGCGUAAUAGCUCACUGGUCUAGUGAUUUUGCGCGGAAAAUAUAACGGGGCUAAAGUAAGUACCGAAGCUGUAGACUUGCACACAACUUAGAUUAUUUAAGUUUAGAAUAUGAGAAACUAAGUUAUAUGUUUAGUUAUAUUUUUACUGAUUUUUAUAGAGUAAAGAUAGAAAUAAAACUUAGUAAAAUCAGUAAAAAUAUUCUUAGACUAAAGUUAAGUAGUUUAAGUUGUGUGCAAGUGGUAGGAGAGCGUUCUAUUUGCGUCGAAGGUAUACCGGUAAGGAGUGCUGGAGCGAAUAGAAGUGAGCAUGCAGGCAUGAGUAGCGAUAAUUAAUGUGAGAAUCAUUAACGCCGUAAACCCAAGGUUUCCUACGCGAUGCUCGUCAUCGUAGGGUUAGUCGGGUCCUAAGUCGAGUCCGAAAGGGGUAGACGAUGGCAAAUUGGUUAAUAUUCCAAUACCAACAUUAGUGUGCGAUGGAAGGACGCUUAGGGCUAAGGGGGCUAGCGGAUGGAAGUGCUAGUCUAAGGUCGUAGGAGGUUAUACAGGCAAAUCCGUAUAACAAUACUCCGAGAACUGAAAGGCUUUUUGAAGUCUUCGGAUGGAUAGAAGAACCCCUGAUGCCGUCGAGCCAAGAAAAGUUUCUAAGUUUAGCUAAUGUUGCCCGUACCGUAAACCGACACAGGUGGGUGGGAUGAGUAUUCUAAGGCGCGUGGAAGAACUCUCUUUAAGGAACUCUGCAAAAUAGCACCGUAUCUUCGGUAUAAGGUGUGGUUAGCUUUGUAUUAGGAUUUACUCCGAAAGCAAGGAAACUUACAACAAAGAGUCCCUCCCGACUGUUUACCAAAAACACAGCACUCUGCUAACUCGUAAGAGGAUGUAUAGGGUGUGACGCCUGCCCGGUGCUCGAAGGUUAAUUGAUGGGGUUAGCAUUAGCGAAGCUCUUGAUCGAAGCCCGAGUAAACGGCGGCCGUAACUAUAACGGUCCUAAGGUAGCGAAAUUCCUUGUCGGUUAAAUACCGACCUGCAUGAAUGGCGUAACGAGAUGGGAGCUGUCUCAAAGAGGGAUCCAGUGAAAUUGUAGUGGAGGUGAAAAUUCCUCCUACCCGCGGCAAGACGGAAAGACCCCGUGGACCUUUACUACAGCUUGACACUGCUACUUGGAUAAGAAUGUGCAGGAUAGGUGGGAGGCUUUGAGUAUAUGACGCCAGUUGUAUAUGAGCCAUUGUUGAGAUACCACUCUUUCUUAUUUGGGUAGCUAACCAGCUUGAGUUAUCCUCAAGUGGGACAAUGUCUGGUGGGUAGUUUGACUGGGGCGGUCGCCUCCCAAAUAAUAACGGAGGCUUACAAAGGUUGGCUCAGAACGGUUGGAAAUCGUUCGUAGAGUAUAAAGGUAUAAGCCAGCUUAACUGCAAGACAUACAAGUCAAGCAGAGACGAAAGUCGGUCUUAGUGAUCCGGUGGUUCUGUGUGGAAGGGCCAUCGCUCAAAGGAUAAAAGGUACCCCGGGGAUAACAGGCUGAUCUCCCCCAAGAGCUCACAUCGACGGGGAGGUUUGGCACCUCGAUGUCGGCUCAUCGCAUCCUGGGGCUGGAGCAGGUCCCAAGGGUAUGGCUGUUCGCCAUUUAAAGCGGUACGCGAGCUGGGUUCAGAACGUCGUGAGACAGUUCGGUCCCUAUUCUGCCGUGGGCGUAAGAAGAUUGAAGAGAUUUGACCCUAGUACGAGAGGACCGGGUUGAACAAACCACUGGUGUAGCUGUUGUUCUGCCAAGAGCAUCGCAGCGUAGCUAAGUUUGGAAAGGAUAAACGCUGAAAGCAUCUAAGCGUGAAGCCAACUCUAAGAUGAAUCUUCUCUAAGCUCUCUAGAAGACUACUAGUUUGAUAGGCUGGGUGUGUAAUGGAUGAAAGUCCUUUAGCUGACCAGUACUAAUAGAGCGUUUGGCUUAUCU